rfam:Mycobacterium terrae strain CIP 104321 contig_14, whole genome shotgun sequence.
CAAGCACCUCGUUAGGUGAGGCGUCUGCACGGAUACAGGCCACUGACCCCGAACGUCGAAAGACGCCCCGGGUCAGGACAGCUCCUCCCGGAUUAAGGGUUGAGCCCAAGUGGCUUCCGGGCCCGCAUUGAUUGCGCAGGUCAGGACACGCCGUGCAGUGCCGAAGCUCUGACGAGAGGGGUGCGGA